rnacentral:rRNA from 1 species
UACAGAGGGUGCGAGCGUUAAUCGGAAUUACUGGGCGUAAAGCGCACGUAGGUGGCGACGUAAGUCGGGUGUGAAAGCCCCGGGCUCAACCUGGGAAUUGCAUUCGAGACUGCAUUGCUGGAGUACGGAAGAGGAAGGCGGAAUUCCCGGUGUAGCGGUGAAAUGCGUAGAUAUUGGGAAGAACACCAGUGGCGAAGGCGGCUCACUGGCCCGUAACUGACGCUGAGGUGCGAAAGCGUGGGGAGCAAACAGG